rnacentral:sRNA from 1 species
AUCAAUUUACUAGUAAGCAAUGAACACUAACUUAAACUCGAAGCAUUUGAGUUGAGAAAAGAAGGUUCCGUUCCUACUUAUAAGCUAAGCCAAUCGAUCGAUGCAAAGUAUGUUUUGAGCUGUAGUGUAGGAGCACUGAUCUGUACUUCUGGAGAAGAAAAAAAUCUGUGAUAAAGACAGAAGGAAUCCGGUAGACUGAUUAAGCGGCACUUGCCGUGAGAUCUAGUUACUACUGACUGAGCACUAACCAAACUGAAACUGGAGCGAAGUCUCUCCCUAUUAGGUAGUAGGGGGCUCAAAGGGAAGAUGAACUUGCUAAGCCAGGCGGCAUAUAAACCUAUCGGGGGGAUAAGUGGAUCUCCUGUUACUUUUGUUCGGAAGUAUGUGAUCCAUUAAUUCAACAUCGUUUUCUUGGCUACUUUAUCGUAUGCAGCCAGACUUGACUCUUUUAGGCAAAUUACGAAGCACAUGGGCGUCCGCGACAGUGAAUGUGAUUCACCCCAUCUCAUUAUGUUUGAGCUGGUUUCUGGGCACCAUAGGCUGCUCAUCGCCUCUACCUCUAAGGUGUGCUGAUCUGAGGAUACUUCUUCUAAAGAAAAAGGAAUUCUGCCUCCUCCCACUGUUUUACCAUCUCGGCAUCUUCCAGCAUCUCUUUUAUCCAAUCAUUCCACUUUUGGCUUUCUGUUUCUAUGCCCCUCGUCUUGUUUGUCCGGCCGCUUCAUUGGAAUUCCAGAGGAGGUAUGUCGUCUGGAUCCUAGCUGUUUCCCGACACAUUGUCUUCUUGGAAAAUUCUUAUUAUAUUAUGCUUCUUCACCCACACCACUUGCACCACCCACAUCCUCCAUUUCUUAUCUUCCUUUUUUUGAUCUUGAGAAAACUUCGACGGAAUCGGUCUGUCAAAGCCCAGCGAAUAAUGCAACGUUCGUGCCACCGCCUUCUUUUUGCCCCAGUAGGUAAUGACUCAGAACUCUCUGCUCCUUCUGCACCAUCUGUAGUUCCUCUUCGACGUUUCAAUCGUCAAUCUGUAUCUACUGUCUGAUAUGGGUAUUAUCAUCUUCUUUUUUGACUACUUUUCAUUCUGUUCAUGUCCCUUCUACCUAUAAGCAGGCAGCAGAACUCGCAUGUUGGCGCAAAGCCAUAGAUGAUGAGCUCCAGGCCCUAGAAUCAAAUCAUACUUGGUGUUCCUCAACUCUCAGAUAGUUUGA